rnacentral:rRNA from 1 species
GAUGAACGCUGGCGGCGUGCCUAAUACAUGCAAGUCGAACGAAACUUCUUUAUCACCGAGUGCUUGCACUCACCGAUAAAGAGUUGAGUGGCGAACGGGUGAGUAACACGUGGGCAACCUGCCCAAAAGAGGGGGAUAACACUUGGAAACAGGUGCUAAUACCGCAUAACCAUAGUUACCGCAUGGUAACUAUGUAAAAGGUGGCUAUACUACCGCUUUUGGAUGGGCCCGCGGCGCAUUAGCUAGUUGGUAGGGUAAAGGCUUACCAAGGCAAUGAUGCGUAGCCGAAUUGAGAGGUUGAUCGGCCACAUUGGGACUGGGACACGGACCAAACUCCUACGGGAGGCAGCAGUAGGGAAUCUUCCACAAUGGGCGAAAGCCUGAUGGAGCAACGCCGCGUGGGUGAAGAAGGUCUUCGGAUCGUAAAACCCUGUUGUUAGAGAAGAAAGUGCGUGAGAGUAACUGUUCACGUUUCGACGGUAUCUAACCAGAAAGCCACGGCUAACUACGUG